rnacentral:rRNA from 1 species
ACACUAGGUAACCUGCCCAUGUGCCCGGGAUAACUUCUGGAAACGGAUGCUAAAACCGGAUAGGUAGCAGACAAGCAUUUGACUGCUAUUAAAGUGGCUAAGGCCAUGAACAUGGAUGGACCUGCGGUGCAUUAGCUAGUUGGUGAGGUAACGGCCCACCAAGGCGACGAUGCAUAGCCGGCCUGAGAGGGCGGACGGCCACAUUGGGACUGAGACACGGCCCAAACUCCUACGGGAGGCAGCAUG